rnacentral:rRNA from 1 species
UACGUAGGGGGGCUAGCGUUGUCCGGAAUCAUUGGGCGUAAAGCGCGUGUAGGCGGUCCGGUAAGUCCGCUGUGAAAGUCGGGGGCUCAACCCUCGAAUGCCGGUGGAUACUGUCGGGCUAGAGUGCGGAAGAGGCGAGUGGAAUUCCUGGUGUAGCGGUGAAAUGCGCAGAUAUCAGGAGGAACACCAAUUGCGAAGGCAGCUCGCUGGGACGGUACUGACGCUGAGACGCGAAAGCGUGGGGAGCGAACAGG